AGUAGCAACCUAACCUAGCAAACCAAACAGAAACCAUCUCAGCUGAAGUCUAACAAUUUUGAUAAACUUUCAAUAAACAGAUUUCAUUUCAUGCUCGAAGUUUCAUUAGACAUUCUGUGCUUAAUGAUACAAGCGCGUUUCAUGAAAACUUACGAUUUGCUAUUUUGCCUUUGGCUGAAAUGGGUUUUGCUUGCUUUUGACUUUGCUGUUUCGGAACUUUAUCAUUUUGACCGUUGUUUGGCAAACAAAGCUUCAAAUAUUUGUGAUAAGGUAAAUUAAUAAAUCUAACCCAGGUGAGGUUGGAGGUAAAGAUACAAUAUAUAAGUAUAACAAUAAAGUUGUAAACUUGAUUUACUGUUAAGUUGUUCACUGUUUCAAUGGGUAACAUAAUUUACUAUUUUUCAACAGUCUUUUUCACAAUCAAUUUUGUCCAUGCAAUUAAUUUUGACGAUGAAAACAAGCGAAAAAGAUUACAUGUGAUUUUACAAAAGAAACAAGUUGCAAUGUAACAACAGCCAAGCGUAAAUAUUACCAAUUGUUGUUUGAUUGUUGACUACAUUUCUUUCAACAUUCAAUUCAUACAAUUCAAUCACAUCAUGGCUAUUAGAGUCACUUUUUCCCUUUCAUUAAAUCAUUUUCAUCUUAUUGAUUCUUUACGUUAACUUCCUUUAUUUCCCUGUAGAUAAUACACUUUUUUACCUUGUUUUUCCUUCUUUUUUCUUACACAAAGUUUAACUCUCCUAUUCACCGUGUUAUUGGCCAUCUUUUUCACUAUCAUUGUCAUUAUUAUUAUCACCAUCAUCAUAAUCAUCGUUGUCAUUUUCAUCUCUAUUACUAGUGGUUUUGGGAAAGUAAAUGACGAAGGAGGAAGAUGGAUAACAGGAAGAAACAGAAGUGGUGAGACUUAUUAUGGACUAUGAAAUAUCUUUUCCCAUCAUCAUCAUCAUCAAACAACAACAAUUUGCUAAUAUGUGAGGGGUUUGACUUGGAAGAAGUCGGUAAAGAAAACAUGAGAAAAAAGAGGAAUUUUCGUUAUUUACUUUCCAUAACAUUUCAAAGGCCUAUGUGAAUAUUGAGUAACGUCAAGAGGGAAAUUGAAGAUUCCCAUGCUCAUAGUUUUAUUAUUGUCGAGAUAAAGAAGACCAGACAACUGAAUGUCAACGGUGAAAAAAUGUCAACGGUUUUAUUUUGAAAAUUUGCAAAUCCACGCGACCCUGAAUCUCAUCGCCAUUACCAUCGUUUGUUACCAACACUACAAUGUUCAAGAUUCCUUGGGCACCAAUUUUCCCAUCGUAAUAUAUUUUAAUAGUGGAAGAAACUAAUAUAUUUUUUUGUUCAUUUCAGAUCCAACAAAUUCCCUGCAUUCUCAAGAUAAUAUAACACAUUGACAAUAAAUUGUCAACAAUCACUGAGGCCAAUUGAAUGGGCAAAUAUUUACAAGGAACAAAAGGAUAGACCAAGUACAAUAUGGACAAGCAACAUCAAGACAGAUUUGAUACUUUUUUACCUUUAACGGUUUACCUUUCGCCUUCACAUUUCUCCUUUUUUUAUCUAGUCUUCACCUUUUCUCUGUUGAUCGUUUUUUACCAUUCAUCCAUCUUCUAUACAUUUCUUGGAAAGUGCAAAGACAUAUUGUGUCCUCAAUAGUAAAAUCACAUAUUGUAAUUGUAAGAAGUUUGCUUUCUUCAUUCAUCUUAUUUUUUUAAAAGCACACAACGAACGGCCUUUUAACGGGCAAAAUAGAGAGACCUUUAAACUCUAUGUUCCCAUGUGUUCGCCUUGUUGGUAAAAAAAAGGUCAAAAGUCAUUGUCACACGGUAAGCAUCUUGCGUGAAGAAGCGUUGUUAAUCAUCAUCAAAAUUUUAAUAAAUUAUUUCAUAUUGAAA